AGCGAACGUUAGCGGCACGCCUAACACAUGCAAGUCGCACGAGAAAGGGAGCAAUCCUGAGUAGAGUGGCGCACGGGUGCGUAACACGUAGAUAACCUGCCCUUUGGAGGGGAUAACGUUCCGAAAGGAGCGCUAAUACCGCAUAAUGCCUUUUCCGGUUUGCCGGAGAUUGACAAAGGUAGGGACCCGCAAGGGCCUACCGCCAGAGGGAGGGGUCUGCGGCCCAUCAGCUAGUUGGGGAGGUAAUGGCUCACCAAGGCAGAGACGGGUAGCUGGUCUGAGAGGAUGAUCAGCCACACUGGUACUGGAACACGGACCAGGACUCCUACGGGAGGCAGCAGGUGGGAAUCUUGGUCAAUGGGCGCAAGCCUGAACCAGCGAUGCCGCGUGAGUGAUGAAGGCC
rnacentral:rRNA from 1 species